CAUGAUUGGUGUUUGCGAAAGCUUAAAAGGGAAGUUGGUGUAAGUCCAACACAGACCCGCUGCUGUAAUAAGCUAAUACUUUUAGUUAAUAAGUCACUGUUGAAAAAUGGGAAGACAACUAAGAGUGCUUUAAGUCAGAAGACCUGCCAAUAAAAAUUU
rnacentral:ncRNA from 1 species